ACCGCUAUCCGGAUUCGACUAAGCCAUGCGAGUCGAGAGUCUUCGGGACUCGACGUACUGCUCAGUAAUAUAUAGUUAACCUACCCUAAAGACAGGGAUAAUCUCGCGAAAGUGAGGCUAAUACCUGAUAGAUAUUCUGGUCUGGAAUGAUAGGAUAUUGAAAGAUCCGUCGCUUUAGGAUGGGACUAUAGGUUAUCAGCCUGUUGGGGGUGUAAUGUACCCCCAAAGCUAUAACGGCUAUGGGCCAUGAGAGUGGAACCCCAGAGAUGGAUUCUGAGACCUGAAUCCAGGACCUACGGGUCGCAGCAGGCGCGAAACCUUCACUAUACAUUAACGUGUGAUGAGGGAAUCUGGAGUGCUUAUGCUUCAGCAUAAGCUUUUGCUAAGUCGAAAUAGCUUGGCGAAUAA
rnacentral:rRNA from 1 species